rnacentral:rRNA from 1 species
AGAGUUUGAUCAUGGCUCAGAUUGUACGCUGGCGGCAGGCUUAACACAUGCAAGUCGAACGGUAACAGGAAGGAAGCUUGCUUUCUUUGCUGACGAGUGGCGGACGGGUGAGUAAUGCUUGGGAAUCUGGCUUAUGGAGGGGGAUAACUACGGGAAACUGUAGCUAAUACCGCGUAGUAUCGGAAGAUGAAAGUGUGGGACCGCAAGGCCACAUGCCAUAAGAUGAGCCCAAGUGGGAUUAGGUAGUUGGUUAGGUAAAGGCUGACCAAGCCGACGAUCUCUAGCUGGUCUGAGAGGAUGACCAGCCACACUGGAACUGAGACACGGUCCAGACUCCUACGGGAGGCAGCAGUGGGGAAUAUUGCACAAUGGGGGGAACCCUGAUGCAGCCAUGCCGCGUGAAUGAAGAAGGCCUUCGGGUUGUAAAGUUCUUUCGGUGAUGAGGAAGGUGUUUGUUUGAAUAGGACAAGCUAAUUGACGUUAGUCACAGAAGAAGCACCGGCUAACUCCGUGCCAGCAGCCGCGGUAAUACGGAGGGUGCGAGCGUUAAUCGGAAUAACUGGGCGUAAAGGGCACGCAGGCGGUGACUUAAGUGAGAUGUGAAAGCCCCGGGCUUAACCUGGGAAUUGCAUUUCAUACUGGGUCGCUAGAGUACUUUAGGGAGGGGUAGAAUUCCACGUGUAGCGGUGAAAUGCGUAGAGAUGUGGAGGAAUACCGAAGGCGAAGGCAGCCCCUUGGGAAUGUACUGACGCUCAUGUGCGAAAGCGUGGGGAGCAAACAGGAUUAGAUACCCUGGUAGUCCACGCUGUAAACGCUGUCGAUUUGGGGAUUGGGCUUUGAGCUUGGUGCCCGUAGCU